rnacentral:lncRNA from 1 species
AACGAAAUUGCCGAUGCAAAAGAGACAUUCACUGUACACUAUUCACACAUCUCAACUUCGUUCCAUUUGUUUCUCAUUUGAAACCUUCACAACUCUUAUUUCACAACUCAAUUUUUGUUUUUCACUAUUUUUCUUCCAAGCAAGCAUUCAUUUUCAUUUUCUCUAUAUUUUUUUUUCUUUUCUUUUCACAUCGUAUUCACAAAACAGAUGUUUCUCUUUUCUAAUUUUUUUUCAAUGCUUGCUCGGUUUUUCAAGAGUUGUGGCACUUACCGAUUCUCAUCUUCGUUCUCCCCAACUUAUUUCUUACUCACCCUAAGUGAAUGCUCUUGACUUUUUACGGCAAAAGAACAAUUACCAAAAUUUUCCGGGUUUCAAGAAAAA